AACGUUGGGGGUCUAUAAUGCAGUCGACGAACUUCCGUUAAUUGAUCAUGACGUGCUUGCACUGAAUGAGAUUUUAACACGAAGUGAGUGGCGGACGGGUGAGUAACACGUGGGUAACCUGCCCAGAAGCAGGGGAUAACACCUGGAAACAGAUGCUAAUACCGUAUAACAGAGAAAACCGCCUGGUUUUCUUUUAAAAGAUGGCUCUGCUAUCACUUCUGGAUGGACCCGCGGCGCAUUAGCUAGUUGGUGAGGUAACGGCUCACCAAGGCGAUGAUGCGUAGCCGACCUGAGAGGGUAAUCGGCCACAUUGGGACUGAGACACGGCCCAGACUCCUACGGGAGGCAGCAGUAGGGAAUCUUCCACAAUGGACGCAAGUCUGAUGGAGCAACGCCGCGUGAGUGAAGAAGGGUUUCGGCUCGUAAAGCUCUGUUGUUAAAGAAGAACGUGGGUGAGAGUAACUGUUCACCCAGUGACGGUAUUUAACCAGAAAGCCACGGCUAACUACGUGCCAGCAGCCGCGGUAAUACGUAGGUGGCAAGCGUUAUCCGGAUUUAUUGGGCGUAAGCGAGCGCAGGCGGUCUUUUAAGUCUAAUGUGAAAGCCUUCGGCUCAACCGAAGAAGUGCAUUGGGAAACUGGGAGACUUGAGUGCAGAAGAGGACAGUGGGAACUCCCAUGUGUAGCGGGUGAAAUGCGUAAAUUAUGGAAGAACACCCAGUGGCGAAGGCGGGCUGUCUGGGUCUGUAACUGACG
rnacentral:rRNA from 1 species